GACGAACGCUGGCGGCGUGCUUAACACAUGCAAGUCGAACGCUGAAGCCCUUCGGGGUGGAUGAGUGGCGAACGGGUGAGUAACACGUGGGUAAUCUGCCCUGCACUCUGGGAUAAGCCUUGGAAACGGGGUCUAAUACCGGAUAGGACACAUCGCCGCAUGGUGUGUGUGUGGAAAGUUCCGGCGGUGCAGGUUGAGCCCGCGGCCUAUCAGCUUGUUGGUGGGGUGAUGGCCUACCAAGGCGACGACGGGUAGCCGGCCUGAGAGGGUGACGGGCCAAACUGGAACUGAGACACGGCCCAGACUCCUACGGGAGGCAGCAGUGGGGAAUCUUGCGCAAUGGGCGAAAGCCUGACGCAGCAACGCCGCGUGGGGGAUGACGGCCUUCGGGUUGUAAACCUCUUUCGACCGGGACGAAGGAUUCGUUUGACGGUACCGGUAGAAGAAGCACCGGCUAACUACGUGCCAGCCGCCGCCGUAA
rnacentral:rRNA from 1 species